ensembl:lncRNA
CAAUGGUUCUCGCUAAACCAUGUCCCUCCACACAACAUCCAAACAUUCUCUGAACACCACCAGGCUCGGUGACUCCACCACCUCUCUGGGCAGCCCAUUCCAGUGCCUGACCACCCUUUCAGAGAAGCAGUAUUUCCUAACGUCCAGCCUGAACCUUCCCUGGCGCAGCUUGAAGCCAUUCCCUCUCGUCCUAUCACUAGUCACACGAGAGAAGAGGCUGACCCCCAGCUCACUACAACCUCCUUUCAGGACAGUUUCAGAACAGACUGGGAUUUCUCUGAAAGCCAAAGGCCAGGAAAAAAGGAUUAAAUCACCAUGUUACAAAGCCAUGAUAUCUAGGUUGGAGGUCUGCAUGGAUUGAAAGGGGAUGCAUUCCCCCCUUCGAAGCAGGAAGCUACUAGCUGCAGAAGUGAAGAUAUCUGAUGGAUGUUGUCAUGCUGAGAUGCUGCUGCUUCCAGUCAUGGAAGAGUGCAAACCCAAGAGCAUUCACAUUUUCAUGAAGACUUGAAUGCAGCAGUUCCGGAUUUUCAAGCUUCCUUUCUAAACCUACAGCAGGUUAUCCUGGCCCAGCACCAAUGUUCUUGCUUCUGCUGGAGGUGUGAAUAUGACUGUCAGGGAAAUGGGCAGCCAGAAGGACUAACUCUGCUUUUGAAGUACAGCAAAGCAGUUGGCCAAAACCGGGGCCAUAGCAAGAUAAAACAUCUUAUUCUCAGUUGGAAGUUCAGCCAUACAAGCAAUUACUGAUGGAUGGAGUCACUGUAACUCGUGUCUUUCCUAGGACUCUGGAAUUAGGAGAAGACCUAUGCAGGGAGUGAGGACAAAGGGGAAGACUUUUUAUGGCUUGAUUUGUUCUUGCAUUUGAAAUAGAUGCUACCUCUGACCUUUGAGAUGUUAGGCUCCAAAACAAAUAAAUAAAUGCAUCUUGGAUGAAUCAUCUAAUGCUCCUUGUGGGGAUAUUUGUGCACUAUAGACUAACUUUAAAAAUUCUUUUAAACUUGGGAGUGCUUAAUUUUUCUGUGACUUAUCAUUAGAUGUCUAUGAUUUAUGGCAGGUGUAAAUUAUAACUUACUUAUUUUGUGAGUAUAUAAUGAUUUGAUCUUUUGUGAAUGUUUAAGAUGCAAGUCAAAUGUGAGUCCAACCAAAACUCCCAUUUCUGGUGGUGAGAAUUUGCUCCUUUUUUACAACUAACAGCUUGCCAAGGAAUGUGGUGGAUUCUCUGCUGCUUAUAGUCUUUAAAUCAAAAUGAAUGUCUUUCCAAGAAAGAUGCCAUGCAUCAACCACAACUUACUGGAAUUGAUUUAGGAAUUGUUGGGCAGCCUCCUCUGGUCUGGGCUCUGCAGAUGUCAGAGGAGUAGGUGACUGCAAAGUUUCCAUAUGAUCUUAAAAUCUACAAAUAUGCAGUGGAAAUACUGGGGUCUUUAUUUUGCUUUUCUAUCAGGGAGGAUCUGGGAUCUUUGUUGUGCUGUUGGUCAGAGUCAGCUGGCUAGAUGGUAUAUCUCAGGUGACAGAAGGUGUUACGACUUUUUUCUCACCUCUGCCUGGGAGCCAUGGCACAUUUUAAUGAAUUCCUUGAUUGUAAUUGCAGCUCAGUAAGAAGACGUUUUCCAACUGUACAAAAGCCCUCUUGAUUUUUCAAAACGUCCUCAUGCUUCGUGGAGUUGAAAUCAUUGCUUUUCAUGCCCACCUAGUUUAAAAGCCAUCUGGUGGAGCUCUGAGAUUUUAGUACCAGUUCUAUUCUGGGCUGAACUGAGCAAAAGAUUGGUCUUUUGUCUUCUGAAUGAGUUGGGAUGGGGACUACAGGACUGCUCCCCUCCAUCAAAAGUUCAUCUCAUUCUGAAAAGAAACUCUAUCCUGCACCAUGAAUCUUUCCUGGGGGAAAUGGUCAAUGCUUUCUGGCAAAAAUGUCACUUCUGCUAAUUUGGUAUUUCUUGACAAAAAACGUUGUGUCCCCCCCCAGAAAUAAUUCAUUUUUACAAGAACUUUGUGAACAAAUCUGCAAGCAAUGAUCACAAAGAGAGCUACACUUGGGUCACACUUCUAUGCUUUCAGAAACUCAACAGCUUUUUGUGCCACAAAAGGUAAAAAUCGUAACAGCUGUGAAGGCAAGAAGAAAACAGUAUAAGACAAAUUGUUUCUUGCCUUGUAAGUGUUUAGAAGUCUUUAAUGAACAUGUUUACAUACUUCUAAAUCACAAUUGUUCUGCCAGCACUAGCGUAGACAUAGGAAGAACAAAAAGAAUAAAACAUUUUCUUCUCAAAAUCUGGUUUAUCAGAUAUAAGCAAAUGUCUUUCCCAGUCUGUCUGAAGCUAGCAGUGCUAAAUUUUAACUCUGCAGAAAGUAUUUAGCGUAAUAUAUGUAAAUAUUAUGUUAAAAGUUUCACAUCCUGUUUUGAACAGUGGCAAAAAUUUCCUUUCAGCCUUUAGGUUUUCCACUAAUUUCUUUCAUAUUGAAUCAGAGAAGGCUAAAAAAACUACUGAUCAGAUCUUACUGAGCUUUAUUGUAAUGUAGUUUAAGUGAAUGCAGACGGUUGGUUUUGCUUUUUAUUUUUACUUUUUCACUUCAUUUUUUUUCCCUCCAUGUCUGAAAUACUAUACAAGGGGAGAAGUUCUUGUGGCAUUAACACGAGAGUCUCAAAAUGGGCCAGAAAAUAAAUAUUAUAAAAAACAUGUCAUCCAAAUCAAAUAUUGUACUAAUAAGGGAAAGUGGAGAGUUUACAAUUGUGGUUCAAGGUUUUACAUGCAAGGUAGCUCAGAAGUUAGCUAAAUACAUUUCAGAUGGAUGUAAAAAGCAAGGGAAAUGUGUUACGUAUCUUCCAAUGGGGAGAUCUCAAGCCUACCUCCAGUUACAACCCUGGAGGUCAAGUUCCCAAGCGGUUACCAAUGGGGCAAUUGAAACAGGCUCAGGUCCUGCUCUUGCUUCAACAACAUUCACCAGGCAAAAAGGCAGAAGAUCUGCUACAGCCUGACAAAGCAGGAGGCUGGCCCAUGGGCCUGCAAGCAAAAUCCUGAGAACUAUCUUGUAUUAGAUGGAGCCUUUAGGUUUCCUUAUACUUGGCAAAAAAUGCUGCUACUGACUGUUGGCUCAUGGUGCUUAACUUUCUAAUUGCCCUAACUAUGCUAAAUUGCACUGUGCAGUCCCUUAACAAUUAUGAAGGUUAGCAACAGUUUUAACUGGCAGAAAUGACAUGAAUAUAAUUGCAGGGUUGUCUGAAAAAAGCAUGAAAGUCAGUAAAUACCAGAGUUAGGAUUUUCACAGCUAUAUGGACCGUCCUGUGCUGUGCAUCACCUGUAUGAUGGAAUAAGAGAAUUGCAAUAGUACUCUAAGAUUGUAUGCUUGUGUAGAAAAAAGCCCUCAAUAUGACUUACGUGGUAGGAGAAGACAAACAAACCUGCUCUGAAACUCAUAAGUUUUAUACAUUUUGUUGCACAUAGCUGUAAAACCCCAGCACUGCACUGAUGCAUCCACUCUCUUUUCAUACUCUGAUGCAGAAUGGCUGUGAGUAGUUACAGCUGGUGUGCCCCAGUUUCCAGAGGAAACUAUGAUGCCUCAUCUCCGUGCAGUGGCUGACAGCCUUCAGGUGUCUGUCUCUCUUUGGAGGUGUGAUGUGUGUUGGAGGGAUGUUUUCUCCUCUUGUUUCUUGUGCACACUGUGAUGACUGCAUGUGACUUUAGUGAAGGGUGCAAUCAAUCAUAGCACUGGUUACGUAAAAAUUCUUUGUGGAACAACUCCACCAAAAUUCACGGUUCUAAGUACUCACUAAGUAGUGUAAACAAUUUUAAUCCAGUAGUUUAUAUCAAAGAGCUAAUGUUGGCUAUCAGAACCUAACUGAAGAGUUUUCAGCUGUUCUCAGUAUAAUUGUGAAAUAUUACCAAGACUGCCACAGAGCAGGCUGAAUUUGGUAAUCCAGGACAGCUCACAUGACCAGAUUGUUUUCAGGUGUCGAUCUGGUCAGCUGUUUGACUGUAUUUUAAUAUAUAUCAAUGUAUGCAAUAAGUUAAAUUAUUUUAAAUGGGAUAUUUUAAAAGAUAAUAAUAGAUACUGCAUUUGUGCAGCAAGCUGUAGCUGCUCUGCUAUAGGUCUACUUUCCAUAGGACUUUUCAGAAAACUGCAUUGUUUUCACCUCUGUGACUGGCAACCAAGAGUAAAAGCUGUAGUUUAGAAGAGCAAACAGGUAUGAGUGGCACAGGCUGCCCAGAGAGCUGUGGGUGCCCCAUACCUGGAGGUGCUCAAGGCUGGGCUGGAUGGAGCCAUGGGCAACCUGAGCUGGUGAGGGGCAGCCAGCCCAUGGCAGGGGGUUGGAACUGGAUAAUCUUUGAGGUCCCUUCCAACCUAAGCUAUGCUAUGGUUCUAUGACCUUAAAGGAGCCAUAGAAAGAUAUAGCACCAAGCGUUGACUUUCGUGUUGUACUCCAUUAAGGCCAAAAGAAAGGCUGAACAUGGAUUAUUUAGAUAGCUGACCAGCUUCAGUGUGAAAUAACAUCAUGAAUGAACAGAAUCUAGCUUGUUUUGAUUAUGCUUUCAAGUUAGGGCUCUUUAAGGGAUUGUAUAGGAUCCUCUGCAGCUAGCAAGCUUACUAUGGGUCUAUUUUUAACUAGAUGGUUAUAGGUUAUGGAUAUUAAAUAGGAUGGCCACAUCAGUGAAUCCCAUCUUAAAUAUUAGUGAAGCAUUUAUGCUUGUUGUUUUAAAGUGCUUCUAAAAUCCAUAGCAAGACCCUUAAUCUUAGUUACUUUAUUGACAGUCCCUGCCAGAGAAACCAACUCUGUAGAAGCUAGUAUUAAUUUACAUCAUGUCAAAGUAAUCAAAAUUGCAGAGAAGCAUUUUUUGCUUAACCAUCUAUGGAAAAAUCAGUGCAUUCCUCUUUCCAUCUUCUGGGGUACCUACAAAUUAUUUCUUUAAGCGUUUAUAAAGAUAGCUCAGUGUGUGGGAUUUUCUAAUGAGCCCUACUGAAUUCUAGUUUGUGUUUCCUUUGGUGAAGUGAACAUGCAUAUCCCCAAGUAAGCAAACUGCACAGACCCUGUUCAGUUUGAAGAAUUUAGCAGUCCUGAAAGCUUAAGCAUUCCUAGAAAAGUUUGGAUUCCCUUCCAAAUUGUAAUUACAGUUUUUAAUAGUAUGAGGGUUUCCGGGAUGGACUGUAUCCAGAAGAGUUCUUCCAUUUAUCAGCUCAACACCUACUCUUUGAGCAAGAAAGAGGGCAAACCCUAGGAAAAAAAGAAAGGAAAAAGGAAAAAGGAAAAAGGAAAAAGGAAAAGGUAGGAAGGAGGGAAGGAAGGAGGGAAGGAAGGAGGGAAGGAGGGAAGGAGG